CGUCAGUCCCUCACCAUCGACGCAUUGUGAAGAUCCCGUUUUGUCACCCCGUGUUUUCAGUCCCCCACCGAGGAUGCCAUGUGAGGAUCUCAUUCUGUCACCCCGCGUUUUCAGUCCUUCACCAUCAACACACCGUGAAAAUCUAACUUUGUCAUCCCCUGACUUCCGUUUCUGGAUGGAGACUGAAAAGGACAUAGAAGAGGAACAAACCCCUUCAACAUCUGGUGGAACUACAGCAAGAGAGAGUUCCAGACACGUGUGGUUUAGACCUCGCUACGCUUUGUCAAGUGACUCUGAUUAGAUUGGGAUCCUUAAAAACUGAAGACCUAAUUGGGAAGUCACAUUAGAACAUCCUCAUUUCUCAGUUUUUUGUUUUUUUUUAUUAUAGCCUGUGGAAUCCUUAGGUAGCGCCUUGCACUGGAGUUUUCUUCUCAACUGCCCCAUGUUUAAAUUAGCGGUUCUUCCCCACUUGGUGCCCUCCGAUAUAGUAAAUUGUUCUAUUCUGUUUCUCCACUAAUCCACUCUCCAAGUUUUUAAUCUUUCAGGUUUUAGCUGCUCAUCGCUGGAUCCUUUCGUCGUCGUCCAUGUGGUUCUUGUCCUUCUGGACCCCUUGUUUUUCACACUGCUUGUUGGAUCUCCUCGGCCUGUAAACCUCCGCCUUCAGCACCACCAGUCAGAUAGAGGAAGAUAAGAGAACCCAGUUGAAAAAAAAAGUAAGAAAACUUAUUUUUAUUUUAAAUUUGGAUGAAAUUGAGGUCAAAUUUCUAAAUUGUUCUUCCUUCUGUCCACGUAUGUUCUAUUUGUUAACCCUGUUGUCUUUUCUCUGGAUUUCAUUUCUACAUCAACUCAUGUCACAUGACUUGAGUUGACCGACAAUUAAAGCAGAAGACCAGCUCCACCUUCAACACCAGCAGUCAGGUGGAGGAAGAUAAGAAAACCCAGUUGGCAAAAAAAGUAAGAGCAUAUUUAUCUACCCAACAUAAAUAAUCAUUUCAAAAAUUGCUGCAGAGAAUUGAGCUGAAAGUUAGAAACUGUUGCUGUUUUCCUCCUUAACUUAAUUUUCCCUCUUUAUUUCAUUUUUCUGUGAACUCAUGAUGUCUUGAGUUGACCAACGAUUAAAGUAGAAGACCUGCUCCACCUGCUGAUCUACUGGUUGUAACAGAUUGGGAAAGCAUCACUGAGACAAGGCAGCAACACUGGACCAAUCAGAACAGAGAAGACAGAGAGGACUGAGGACUAAAACAAAAAUCUUAUUCCUGUCAAAGACUGAGCCUCCCUCAUCACUAUAAAACCUCCUCGCCUCCAUCACUGUCAGGGACAUAAACAUCCUGCAGCGAC